GAUGAACGCUGGCGGCGCGCCUAACACAUGCAAGUCGAACGAUUAAAGCACCUUCGGGUGUGUAUAAAGUGGCGAACGGCUGAGUAACACGUGGGCAACCUGCCCCUUUCAUUGGGAUAGCCACGGGAAACCGUGGAUAAUACCGAAUACUUCGAGACUUCCGCAUGGAAGACUCGAGAAAGCUCCGGCGGAGAGGGAUGGGCCCGCGGCCUGUUAGCUUGUUGGUGGGGUAACGGCCUACCAAGGCAAUGAUGGGUAGCUGGGUUGAGAGACCGACCAGCCAGAUUGGGACUGAGACACGGCCCAGACUCCUGCGGGAGGCAGCAGUGGGGAAUCUUGCACAAUGGGCGAAAGCCUGAUGCAGCGACGCCGCGUGCGGGAUGAAGGCCUUCGGGUUGUAAACCGCUUUCAGCAGGGACGAGGCGAAAGUGACGGUACCUGCAGAAGAAGCCCCGGCUAACUACGUG
rnacentral:rRNA from 1 species